rnacentral:rRNA from 1 species
AAUCCAUAGGUUAAUGAGGCGAACCGGGGGAACUGAAACAUCUAAGUACCCCGAGGAAAAGAAAUCAACCGAGAUUCCCCCAGUAGCGGCGAGCGAACGGGGAGGAGCCCAGAGCCUGAAUCAGCAUGUGUGUUAGUGGAAGCGUCUGGAAAGGCGCGCGAUACAGGGUGACAGCCCCGUACACAAAAGCGCAUGUGCUGUGAGCUCGAUGAGUAGGGCGGGACACGUGGUAUCCUGUCUGAAUAUGGGGGGACCAUCCUCCAAGGCUAAAUACUCCUGACUGACCGAUAGUGAACCAGUACCGUGAGGGAAAGGCGAAAAGAACCCCGGCGAGGGGAGUGAAAAAGAACCUGAAACCGUGUACGUACAAGCAGUGGGAGCACAGGUUUACCUGUGUGACUGCGUACCUUUUGUAUAAUGGGUCAGCGACUUAUAUUCUGUAGCAAGGUUAACCGUAUAGGGGAGCCGGAGGGAAACCGAGUCUUAACCGGGCGUUAAGUUGCAGGGUAUAGACCCGAAACCCGGUGAUCUAGCCAUGGG